rnacentral:miRNA from 1 species
GAGAUAGAAAUAAGAUAU